rnacentral:misc_RNA from 1 species
AAACUGCGAUACUUAGCGUGAAUUGCAGAAUUCAGCGAAUCGUCGAGACCUUGAACGCAUCUUGCGCUUGGGGGUACCCCUCCAAGCACGCUUGUUUGAGCGUCACCUCAUCACCUCUCCACAAACCCCUCAGGGGGUGCGAAGGAGGAAUCUGAGCGUCGGGUCCUAGGGGUCCGCCGUUCGAAAAGGGGCGCGAGCGUAGGCUCUGGGCCGGUAGAGGCGGAGCGUCGUGCUGCAAGGUUUGCUGCCCCUCGGGGCGCGUCCGUGCACGCAGGCUACCCCGUCCUCCGGGUUCACCCAGGCCGCCGCUCAGCGGAAGGCCGCCUUCCCCCCAACAGGGGAGGGCGGGCAACGGACGGCGCGAGCCGUCGUUACUCAAAUCUGCGACCUCAAAUCAAGC